AUUGAACGCUGGCGGCAGGCCUAACACAUGCAAGUCGAGCGGAUGAAGGGAGCUUGCUCCUGGAUUCAGCGGCGGACGGGUGAGUAAUGCCUAGGAAUCUGCCUGGUAGUGGGGGAUAACGUCCGGAAACGGGCGCUAAUACCGCAUACGUCCUGAGGGAGAAAGUGGGGGAUCUUCGGACCUCACGCUAUCAGAUGAGCCUAGGUCGGAUUAGCUAGUUGGUGGGGUAAAGGCCCACCAAGGCGACGAUCCGUAACUGGGCUGAGAGGAUGAUCAGUCACACUGGAACUGAGACACGGUCCAGACUCCUACGGGAGGCAGCAGUGGGGAAUAUUGGACAAUGGGCGAAAGCCUGAUCCAGCCAUGCCGCGUGUGUGAAGAAGGUCUUCGGAUUGUAAAGCACUUUAAGUUGGGAGGAAGGGCAGUAAGUUAAUACCUUGCUGUUUUGACGUUACCAACAGAAUAAGCACCGGCUAACUUCGUG
rnacentral:rRNA from 1 species